rnacentral:rRNA from 1 species
GCUCAAAUUUGAAAUCUUAAAGGUUUUACCUUGACGAAUUGUAGUAUAAAGAAGUGUUUUCUGUUGGUGUUUUGGUAAAAGUUCUUUGGAAUAGGACAUCAUAGAGGGUGAGAAUCCCGUAUUUGACCAUUACUUCCCGCGUUGUGAUACACUUUCAAAGAGUCGGAUUGUUUGGGAAUGCAGUCCAAAAUGGGUGGUAAAUUUCAUCUAAAGCUAAAUAUUGGCGAGAGACCGAUAGCGAACAAGUACCGUGAGGGAAAGAUGAAAAGAACUUUGAAAAGAGAGUUAAACAGUACGUGAAAUUGUCAAAAGGGAAGCGUUUGACACCAGUGUUGUUUUCUCGAAAAUCAAUUAAAAAAAGUUGGAUUUUGUAUUGUUAAGACCUUAUCAGCUUACUGUACUCUUUUCUUGCUUUUUUUAAUGCACUUUUCGUUUAACAAG